rnacentral:rRNA from 1 species
UACAGAGGGUGCUAGCGUUGUUCGGAAUUAUUGGGCGUAAAGAGCUCGUAGGCGGUUUGUCGCGUCUGUCGUGAAAGCCCACGGCUUAACCGUGGGUCUGCGGUGGAUACGGGCAGACUAGAGGCAGGUAGGGGAGAAUGGAAUUCCCGGUGUAGCGGUGAAAUGCGCAGAUAUCGGGAGGAACACCGGUGGCGAAAGCGCGAUACUGGGCCUAACUGACGCUGAGGAACGAAAGCCAGGGGAGCGAAAGGG